UACGAAGGGGGCUAGCGUUGCUCGGAAUCACUGGGCGUAAAGCGCACGUAGGCGGGUCUUUAAGUCAGGGGUGAAAUCCCGGAGCUCAACUCCGGAACUGCCUUUGAUACUGGAGAUCUUGAGUCCGGGAGAGGUGAGUGGAACUCCGAGUGUAGAGGUGAAAUUCGUAGAUAUUGGGAAGAACACCGGUGGCGAAGGCGGCGACCUGGUCCGAUACUGACGCUGAGGCGCGAAAGCGUGGGUAGCAAACGGG
rnacentral:rRNA from 1 species